rnacentral:rRNA from 1 species
AACGAACGCUGGCGGCGUGGAUAAGACAUGCAAGUCGAGCGCUGAUUUUCCCUGUAGCAAUAUGGGAGAGUUGGAGCGGCGCAAGGGUGCGUAACACGUGGAUCAUCUGCCUGGAAGUUCGGAAUAAUCCCGCGAAAGCGGGACUAAUGCCGGAUGUGUCCCGAUGCAAAUCGGGGUAAAGCUGGGGACCCGCAAGGGCCUGGCGCUUCCAGAUGAGUCCGCGGCCUAUCAGCUAGUUGGCGGGGUAACGGCCACCAAGGCUAAGACGGGUAGCUGGUCUGAGAGGACGACCAGCCACACUGGAACUGAGACACGGUCCAGACACCUACGGGUGGCAGCAGUCGAGAAUUUUUCUCAAUGGGCGAAAGCCUGAAGGAGCGACGCCGCGUGGGGGAUGAA